UACAGAGGUCUCGAGCGUUGUUCGGAUUCAUUGGGCGUAAAGGGUGCGUAGGUGGCGCUGUAAGUCGGGUGUGAAAUCCUGAGGCUUAACCUCGGAACUGCAUUCGAUACUGCGGUGCUUGAGGACUGGAGAGGAGACUGGAAUUCAUGGUGUAGCAGUGAAAUGCGUAGAGAUCAUGAGGAAGACCAGUGGCGAAGGCGAGUCCCUGGACAACACCUGACACUGAGGCACGAAAGCUAGGGGAGCAAACAGG
rnacentral:rRNA from 1 species